ACACUCAGACUCCACUGCACAGUACAAGCCUGUGCAAAUCAACAUCACAAAACAAUACAUGGAAUGCAGUACCAUAGUAGACCUCCAAGACAUAGCAAAACAGUGGAUAAUAUGAAAGUCCCCAUGGGUAGUUGAUUAUGAAGUUCUUUACCUGAAGAAUCUAAUCUUCUAAUCCAUUUUAAGCUCAUUCUUUUUUUCAUAAAUAUUUAUUAAGCAUCUCCCACGUAGGGUUUGAAACAUCAGGAAUUCAAAGAUAGAUAAUGUUUUUAUAUAUUCCAAACCCAGUUUAGAACUUAGGGAAGAAAGUCUAGACAGAGUUUGUUCUCAAAGCGAUGGGUAGAUUAGGAAAUGAAAAUAAAAACAUCCAUGUUUAGCUGGGGCAGAUGUCCCACAGCCCUCACUGUCAGGCAAAGGCUAAAUAUAUAAUUAUACGGGGCUGAUUUGGAAGGCAAAUAAACAAACAGGAAAUGUAAGCAUUGUUUUAAAAGACUAAAUCUAAGUUUCAGGGAUUGAAUAGGAAAUACAAGCAGUAAUUUCCUUGUGGCUAGGCAGGAAAUAUAUAAUCAAGGAAAGUCAAGCUUCUGCCUAGAACAAAUGACAAGUAGGUAGAAUGUGAGGAAAUAGAUAAAUGCCAGCCUGAGUCUGAAGUGUAUUAGAGCUUCCACUGAGGAAGCCAGCCAUGGCAUUAUCACAGAUGAGCACUCUUCUGCAUAGGGAUCAGGACAUCUCUGAUAUAAGACAGGUUUAUUCCCAUCACAUUUCUUACCC
rnacentral:lncRNA from 1 species